CCCAACACCUAAAACCAGCACGUCCGAUCUGAUGUCACAUUGAUGGAAUUCAUGCAUUUAACCACCAGCUAACAUUUCAACUCAUUCAUUCAUGAUUAGCUAGUCGUUCCACUAGGUGGCACUCUAACCAUUAUGUACAAAUGGCAUAACAAACACUUCUGAACUCGAGUCUCAUUAUGCCUGCGACCUUUGGGUGAGAUUGGACAUUGUGUUUUUGAGUAACAGCAGAUUACUGCGUUUUGGCGAGUGAUUGAGAGCCUACGUGCCGCCAUAACCACCCCGUUUCCCUGAACGUAAAAAGCCUCGCAAUUUAACAACACAAAGGUCUUUGGAUUCCACACACUGAAGAAUAGUGCAAUCUGAUGAAAUCCCUUGGAGGAGUUCGUCAAAGAACGAUGCCUGAAAAGAGGGGAAAAUGUUGCCAAAAUUGCACAUUAAUUUUAAAAUGGCUGACUUCCUGUUGGAUUUGGGAUAUUGCUCCAAGAGACUUUUUUGUACAUCUUGAUAUCUCCUAUAAGCUUACCAGGUUUCAGACUCAUACAUAAAACACAGAGCAGGGGCUGUGAUUUUGAAAUUUUGUAGGGGGCGCUGUGGAGCCAUUUUGGGAUAUUCAAUGAAAAUGAUCACAUAACAACAAAGCCUUAACCACAUUGGAGGUGUGCGCCAAAUUUCAAGCCUCUAUAAACUUGCCAAGACCCUCAAAAGCCACUUCAUCUUUCAUGGUGAACAGCGUUGCCACCAGGGUGCGCCGUUCAGUUUAAAGUCACAAUUUUUGCACUGAAGCAUCACGAGGGACUGAUGGUGAUAUUCACCGCUUUUGAGGUGGCCACGAUGAACCUGUGAAAAUCAGUACAACAAAAUUAAAGCCAUGACAUUUCCUGUUGCCACUAGGUGGCGCUGUCCGUAUUUCCGACAAUGGGCACAUCAAUCUGUUCAGGGCGCGUCUGACAUCAUGCCUGUAAAGUCUGGUACUGAUCAGACUGGAUUUCAUUGAGUUAUACUAAUUUGUUUCUUCAUGGCGUGACAUCAAAGUUCGCCAUGCUGCUGGGGUCACACCCUUUCGCGAAAACUCACAGUUUUCACUGUAACCCAAGACCAACUCCUUAAGGCUUUCCUGGAGAAAUUUGAGGCUGCAGAUGUCACCCAUCACUAUACUGUACCCCAAAGUGUAAAACAUGACAUUUCCUGUUCCCACUAGGUGGCGCUGUCCUUGAUGUCAAAUAUGGCAGUUGAAAUAUGUUCAGGGGUGGAGCCUUAUCAUAUGUGUGCUCUUUGGUCCAGAUUGGAACAUGUAUGACAGAAUGAGAGGCAAUAAGAUUUUCAUGGCGAGUCAUCGAAAUUCGCCAUGGCGCCACGGCCUCAUAGUAUUGUGAAAACUCAAAAGCUCCGCAAUUUAACAUGGCACAAGGGUGUAGUUGACACUGUCCAAAUUUGGAGCUUAUAGGAACAAAUGCCAAGGAGGAGUUCGUUAAAGUUCGAGGCAUGGAAAUGGCAAAAUUAGAGACAAAAUGUCACCUUCUCUUCCAAAUGGCGGACUUCCUGUUGGGUUUGCGUCAAUGGGCCCACUGACUUUUUUGUUCGUCUUGGCAUGAUACACAUGUGUGCCAAAUUUCAUACAUGUAGCUCAAACGAUGUGGUCGUAGGGCUGCAUUUAACAAGGCAUAGGUGGCGCUCUAGAGCCAUUUCCCAGUGCUCAUAUGUAAAACCAUUAAAAUACAAAAUUUUUCACCAGACCUGGCAUGUGUGCAAAAUUUCAUGAGUUUUUGAGCAUGUUUAGGCCCUCAAAAAGGCCCUUGUUUCGCCUGAAUAAUAAUAAUAAUAAUAAUAAUAAGAAACGGAGCAGAUACAAUAGGGCCUUCGCACUCUCAGUGCUCGGGCCCUAAUAAUAAUAAUAAUAAUAAUAAUAAUAAUAAACAGAGCAAUUACAAUAGGGCCUUCGCACUGUCAGUGCUCGGGCCCUAAUAAUAAGAAACGGAGCAGAUACAAUAGGGCCUUCGCACUCUCAGUGCUCGGGCCCUAAUAAGAAACGGAGCAGAUACAAUAGGGCCUUCGCACUCUCAGUGCUCGGGCCCUAAUAAUAAUAAUAAUAAUAAUAAUAAUAAUAAUAAUAAUAAUAAUAAUAAGAAACGGAGCAGAUACAAUAGGGCCUUCGCACUCUCGGUGCUCGGGCCCUAAUAAGAA
ensembl:lncRNA